rnacentral:rRNA from 1 species
GAUGAACGCUGGCGGCGUGCCUAAUACAUGCAAGUCGAGCGAACGGACGAGAAUCUCGCUUCUCUGAUGUUAGCGGGGGACGGGUGAGUAACACGUGGAUAACCUAUCUAUAAGACUGGGAUAACUUCGGGAAACCCGAGCUAAUACCGGUCAAUAUUUUGAUCCGCUUGGUUCAAAAGUGAAAGACGGUCUUGCUGUCAUUGAUAGAUGGAUCCGCGCUGCAUUAGCUAGUUGGUAAGGUAACGGCUUACCAAGGCAACGAUUCAUCGACGACCUGAGAGGAUGAUUGGCCGACGUGGAACUGAGACUCGAUUCCGACUCAUCCCGGACGCGGCAGUCGGGAAGCUGACGCUAGGGGCGAAAGCCUGAUGGAGAAAGGCCGCGUCCGUGGCGAACGUCUUCGGGUCGUGAAUCUCUGUUCUUUGAGUGGAAAAUAUGUGUAAGUAACUGUGAUCCUAUUGACGGUACCUAAUCAGAAAGCCGCGGCUAACUCCGUG